rnacentral:rRNA from 1 species
AUUGAACGCUGGCGGCAGGCCUAACACAUGCAAGUCGAAUGGUAACAGGAAACAGCUUGCUGUUUCGCUGACGAGUGGCGGACGGGUGAGUAAUGUCUGGGAAACUGCCUGAUGGAGGGGGAUAACUACUGGAAACGGUAGCUAAUACCGCAUAACGUCGCAAGACCAAAGAGGGGGACCUUCGGGCCUCUUGCCUUCAGAUGUGCCCAGAUGGGAUUAGCUAGUAGGUGGGGUAACGGCUCACCUAGGCGACGAUCCCUAGCUGGUCUGAGAGGAUGACCAGCCACACUGGAACUGAGACACGGUCCAGACUCCUACGGGAGGCAGCAGUGGGGAAUAUUGCACAAUGGGCGCAAGCCUGAUGCAGCCAUGCCGCGUGUAUGAAGAAGGCCUUCGGGUUGUAAAGUACUUUCAGCGGGGAGGAAGGGAGUAAAGUUAAUACCUUUGCUCAUUGACGUUACCCGCAGAAGAAGCACCGGCUAACUCCGUG